ACAUGCAAGUCGAACGAGAGAAGAGAAGCUUGCUUUUCUGAUCUAGUGGCGGACGGGUGAGUAACACGUGAGCAAUCUGCCUUUCAGAGGGGGAUACCGAUUGGAAACGAUCGUUAAUACCGCAUAAUAUAAUUGAACCGCAUGAUUUGAUUAUCAAAGAUUUAUCGCUGAAAGAUGAGCUCGCGUCUGAUUAGCUAGUUGGUAAGGUAACGGCUUACCAGGGCGACGAUCAGUAGCCGGACUGAGAGGUUGAUCGGCCACAUUGGGACUGAGACACGGCCCAGACUCCUACGGGAGGCAGCAGUGGGGAAUAUUGCACAAUGGAGGAAACUCUGAUGCAGCGAUGCCGCGUGAGGGAAGAAGGUUUUAGGAUUGUAAACCUCUGUCUUCAGGGACGAAAAAAGACGGUACCUGAGGAGGAAGCUCCGGCUAACUACGUGCCAGCAGCCGCGGUAAUACGUAGGGAGCGAGCGUUGUCCGGAAUUACUGGGUGUAAAGGGAGCGUAGGCGGGAUCGCAAGUCAGAUGUGAAAACUAUGGGCUUAACCCAUAAACUGCAUUUGAAACUGUGGUUCUUGAGUGAAGUAGAGGUAAGCGGAAUUCCUAGUGUAGCGGUGAAAUGCGUAGAUAUUAGGAGGAACAUCAGUGGCGAAGGCGGCUUACUGGGCUUUAACUGACGCUGAGGCUCGAAAGCGUGGGGAGCAAACAGGAUUAGAUACCCUGGUAGUCCACGCCGUAAACGAUGAUUACUAGGUGUGGGGGGACUGACCCCUUCCGUGCCGCAGCAAACGCAAUAAGUAAUCCACCUGGGGAGUACGACCGCAAGGUUGAAACUCAAAGGAAUUGACGGGGGCCCGCACAAGCAGUGGAGUAUGUGGAUUAAUUCGAAGCAACGCGAAGAACCUUACCAGG
rnacentral:rRNA from 1 species